GACGAACGCUGGCGGCGUGCUUAACACAUGCAAGUCGAACGGAAAGGCCCUGCUUUUGUGGGGUGCUCGAGUGGCGAACGGGUGAGUAACACGUGAGUAACCUGCCCUUGACUUUGGGAUAACUUCAGGAAACUGGGGCUAAUACCGGAUAGGAGCUCCUGCUGCAUGGUGGGGGUUGGAAAGUUUCGGCGGUUGGGGAUGGACUCGCGGCUUAUCAGCUUGUUGGUGGGGUAGUGGCUUACCAAGGCUUUGACGGGUAGCCGGCCUGAGAGGGUGACCGGCCACAUUGGGACUGAGAUACGGCCCAGACUCCUACGGGAGGCAGCAGGGGGGAAUAUUGCACAAUGGGCGGAAGCCUGAUGCAGCAACGCCGCGUGCGGGAGGACGGCCUUCGGGUUGUAAACCGCUUUCGCCUGUGACGAAGCGUGAGGGACGGUAAUGGGUAAAGAAGCACCGGCAACUACGUG
rnacentral:rRNA from 1 species